UACGAAGGGGGCUAGCGUUGCUCGGAAUCACUGGGCGUAAAGCGCGCGUAGGCGGUCUGUUAAGUGGGAUGUGAAAUCCCCGGGCUUAACCUGGGAAUUGCAUUUCAAACUGGCCGACUAGAGUACGGUAGAGGGAGGUAGAAUUUCCUGUGUAGCGGUGAAAUGCGUAGAUAUAGGAAGGAAUACCAGUGGCGAAGGCGGCCUCCUGGAUCGAUACUGACGCUGAGGCGCGAAAGCGUGGGGAGCAA
rnacentral:rRNA from 1 species